rnacentral:lncRNA from 1 species
AGCCUUCCCCACUGCCUUCUGUGCUAGGGAUCACUUCCUUGUUGAGUGGGACCUGAGUUUUGAGAGGAUCUUCUGCUCCUGUUCAUCUGGGCCCUUUCUUUCAAGACCCCAGAGACGAAGGCAUGUGGUGGGCCCUAGCCCUGCUUCUAGCUUUCCUGUCUCUUGCCAGUCAGAAAUCUUCCAACUUGGAAGGGAGAACAAAGUCAGUCACCAGGCCAACUGGGUCAUCAGCUGUAAUCACUUGUGAUCUUCCUGUAGAAAAUGCCGUCUACACCCACUGGUACCUACACCAGGAGGGGAAGGCCCCACAGCGUCUUCUGUACUAUGACUCCUACAACUCCAGGGUUGUGUUGGAAUCAGGAAUCAGUCGAGAAAAGUAUCAUACUUAUGCAAGCACAGGGAAGAGCCUUAAAUUUAUACUGGAAAAUCUAAUUGAACGUGACUCUGGGGUCUAUUACUGUGCCACCUGGGAUAGGCACAGUGAUUCAGACCUGUGCUACACCACACUGAAAAUCUGCCUUGUGACUACUCCUGGUACACAAGAUAGACCAGCCUCAUCUCAUUUCCUGCCCAUGAAUUCACUGUAUUCUGUACAAAGAGAAACACAGCUUAACUCCUCAUCUCUCCCCUAAUAUCACACUCCCCUGGCGGCAGCUGCACCCUGUUCUCCACCCCACCCUCAUGAGUUACCUAAAGACCAAACUACAAUCUCCCAGCUGUGUCAGCCAAGCAGCCUUGCUGACAGCAAAGUUCUUUCAGCUCUUCUAUGGGCUGGUGGAGACCCAUUCCACCUGCUUCCUAAGACAGACAAAUUCCUCAAGGACUGGUCUGUAAAGGGAUUCAUUUAGGAGACUAUAUGGGAAGACUAGCUUCACUCAAGCAUUUAUCCAAUUAUUGUCUAUAGGCUAAAAUAGUGCUUAUUCAUUGCUCAGGAUAAAUGUUGGAAUAACAACUUUGCACUUCAGUAAGACAUCUAACGUGUAUCAGAUCUGCUAUCUUUUGGACACACUGACAUUUUUUUCUACAUAACAAAUCAUGGUACUAUUGGUCUGCAGGAGAAUGGGUAAAAAAGUGAUAGUCAUAGGUACGCCAACUUGUGGGUCAUAUCAUAGGUUUUCAACCAUUUCAAGCAUCCCUGCCCUAAUGCAAGUAUCUGAAGGAUCUGACCCUUGCCCUGCAGCAGAAUUCAUUCCAUGUCCCCUCUGGAUAUUAGACUGAUAAUUUGGAUCAGGUCUCAGCAUGGGCCAUUGAGGAACACUACAGCCCUGCUGAGAGAUAAAAAGGAUUAUCCACUCAAGGAGUUCACACCUCCGGGCCGACAUGGAGAACGUGCCUAGAAGCAGACUUGGAGGGUGCUCAGUGGUGGGUUGUGGAAUGUAAGCCUGAAGAAGCAGAGUUUAAUUCUACGGGGGUGCUUUCAUAAUUUAGUACCCUGACAGGGCUCCUGGUGUUGGUCCUUAGACACUCCUGGGAUGGCUCCCUGGAAACAUGGAGGAAACCUUGGUCGCAUGACAUGAUACGGAGAUGUUGGAGCUGCCUGGACACAGUUACAGAGGGAGGCAUUAAAAGGCUUCGAGAGGUCUUAGAAAAUGACUCUUCCUGUCUCAAAAUGCAGUCCUUCAUUCUGAUUGAUGAAUUGGAAGCACAUGGCUGGUGUAAAGAAUAAGAAACUAAUUAUAAGCCAGGAAACAGCAGGAGAAGAAAGCAGAGAAGCAACGCUUACCCUGAAGAAUUAAUUUCCGUUUAGAAAAUAUCACAGCUGAUGUGUCAAAGGCCCCGGUAUGCAGGAAUGAGAUUAAACAAAUGUGGUCAUGAGGAAGAGGUUUCUGAAUAAUGAUAGAGAAGCUUGAGUCUACAAGAAAUCCAGAGUCCAGAAUACUGCAGGGGAGCAGUGCUGGGUUCAUGUUUAUCUGGUCUCUUGUCUAUUGGAUCCUCUUUCUUCCAGAACCCUAAACCUUGAAUCAGCCUUAUAGUCCUGGCUCCUAGAAGAGUGUUUCUCAAAGUGUACUCCACGGACCACCUGGAUAAGAAGCACGUGAGGCUUUUAAUUAAAAAAAAAAAAAAAAGUACAGGUUCUGGGAAGCAUCCAACACAAUAAGACAGAAUCUUGGAAUGAAGGGUGAAAAUGUGCAUUUUAAAAUAACCUCCAGAGCUGAUUCUUAUUCAAACUGACUUUUAAAAACUGCUGCACUAGUGGCAAGAGAUCGAGGGGCUGUCCUGAGCCUGACACAGAAAGGUGUUCUAGAAAGCUGCUCACAGGCUCCUUCGCAGCCCACCAAAUCCGCCUCACUCUUAUCUCCCCCAGCCCCUCAAAGCAGCUGCUUUGACAGUUUCUCACAUUUUUGCAUGAUAAUCCCACAACUGCAAUUCCUUCUGGCUUCCUGUGACCUCACGCAAGAAAAAGUUGUGUACUAAAUGAAUCUGCUUUAACUUGCUCUCCUUCCUCGGGGAUCACACCUUUUUAAGAAAGCCUGUCCCUUACCUUGAAGCACAAACAUAUUCUCAUUUUUAUUCUCCCAAUACCUUGAAGGUUUUCUUCUGCACAUGUAUUUGUUUGAUCUGCCUUUUGUGCGUGGGGUGGGAGUUAGGUAGGAAUCUUAAAGUGGAGAGCCAGUUUCUUCCCAAAUUACUGACCUAACCCAUCCUUAACCCCCAGUUCAAGGCCACCUUUGUGAUAGUGAAGCUUCCACAUGCUCACUCAGCCCCUUCUGCUCUCUCUUCUUCUCUACUGUGCAUGUCGGCUUGUACUUUUGCCAGUUUCUCUAAAGACACAACCAGAGGUGGGGUGGCUGUGUGUGCACAACUUCAACUUUACAUGUGGGGCUGAGUCCCUAUGUUGUAUAUCCUUGUGCAAAAGCACAAUAUGUUAAUUGCUAUAGCUUUUAAAAAAAUAAUUAAUAGUUUUUCAUAAUCAAAUUUUCUUGCUUUUUUGUUUUUUCAAAAAAGCAUACUUUUAUUGAAGAAUAAACCCCUUAUAUAUGUACACUUAUUUAUAACUAUGAACCAUGAACUAGGAUAGAAAUGCAUUGUGUAUAUUACAAAACAUAACAAAAAUAAUAGGGGUAGGGAGGUGCAGAUGUUGGUCAAAGGAUAUAAACCUGCAGUUCUAUGAUGAAUAAGUUCUGGACAUCUGGAAUACAGCAUGGUGACUAUACUUAGUAAUACUAUAUUGUACACUUGAAGCUUACUGAAAGAGUAAAUCUCAAGUGUUCUCACCACACAAACCCAAAGGUAACUAUGUUCUCACCACACAAACCCAAAGGGAACUAUGUAUUAAUUAGCUUGAUUGUGGUAACCAUUUCACAAUGUAUACAUUUGCCAAAACAUUAUGUUGUAUACCUGGAAUAUAUAAUUUUAUUUAUCAAUUAUACCUCAAUAAAGCUGAAAGAGGGGAUUACUAAUUCCCACAAAAUACAGAUUUAACAAAAACUUUUAUUCAACAAACAGUGCUAUGAAGUUGUAAAUUGGAAACAAAAGAAAUAAAAUUUCAUCCACAGUCUUCUCAUCAAAACCCUUCAGUGGCAUUCCUCUUUCUGGUGUCCCAGUCUUGUCAAUUUUGCUAAUAACUGUCAUCCUGGGAAUACCCAAUUUAUCCUACAUGACAAAAUGACAAAGUCUGAUUAGAUGAGUUCUCAGAUUCUAGCAUGGCCAGAAGAGCACUGUCCUGGGUCGGAUAAAUCACGUGGAAGAUGCAGGGGAUGCGUGACUUUAAAGGUCCAGCCCUUAGUCCCUGGAUCUUCAUGCAGGGGCCGCCUCAGCCUGGAUCUGCUCUUCCUCACCACUGCAGCCCUAUCCCACGCUGGCUGAGGUCUGCUUCCACCUGGGCAGUGACUGGAUGACAUGGGAUGAGAGGACACACCUCUCCCUCGCCCAGCAUCGCAUUUCUCUUUCCCUGGAGAUCUGGGAUCUUGGUCAGAAUCCUUCAAACGCCACCCAGGGCUUGAGAGGGCAAGCCCUCCUACACCUUGACUGCGUUUUGCCCAAGAUUUCCCCCAUAUUAUUAUUUUAAACGUGUCUAAUUUAGACAAAUAGAACCUGUAAGUGCUACAUUGAGAAGAGCACAGGGCCACCGAAUUGGGAAGACAAGUAGAGGAAAGGAAAGCAAAUGUCACCAGACAGAAUGUAUGGCUGCAGGUUUACAGCAGAUUCUAUUAAAAUCUAUGGUUGGGCUGGGUGUGGUGGUUCACCCCUCUAAUCUCAGCACUUUGGGAGGCCAAGGCAGAGAGAUCACCUGAGGUCAGGAGUUCAA